AGGGUUUAAAAACCCUAAUAUUUAAACAUCUUUUUCUCCUUUUGCUUUCACAUUGCCUCCUUUCAACCCUAAUACAUUUUUUCUCUCUCUUGUAUUUUCCUCUCAACUUUUUCUUUUCUCUUCUUCCUUGUGCCACAGUUCUCCUCUUAGCCUCCUUUUAUCUUUCUUUUCUCUUCUUUCUUCUAUUAUUUGUGCCACCACUCUCUUCCCUUGCACUGCCGCUAUCGCCGCACCUAUUCUCCUUUUCACCACCAUCGCCGCCACACCUUUUCCUUCCUUUUUCGCCAUCGCUGCACCCCUUAACACCAUUGCCUCCCUCCUUUCUUUUGCCAACUUCCUUGCCGCCGCUUGCCAUCGCCUCUUUUUUCGCUACUAUCGCGUUGUUGCCGUGUCGCCACCAAUUUUUCUCAUCUUCUCUUUUUCUUUCCAUUUCUUUCAUUAUAGCCAGAUCUCUGCUUUUUUUUUCCAUUUUUGUUCUCCUAUAGCCGAAUCUCCUUUAACCGUCUAGAUCUCCACUAAUUGUUCGUUCUUGAUCUGAUUUUCGGUGAAGUGUAUAGAUCUGGGCACGUCUAAUCAAAUCUGAUCUGUCAAAGUGUUUUUGGGUCAGAUUUGUAAAUCGGAGAUAAGGAUCUGGACGAGAUCUGACUACAUAUGUAGCAAAGGAGUGUUCCAGAUUAGAUAUAGUGUUGUUUGGGAUGUACAAAUUAAGGUGUGAGUUCUAACCAAAUAAAUUUCCAUAAGUAUUGUCCAUAAGUGUUUUAUUUGCGUUUAGUAGUAUCCAUAUAAUCUAUGCCUUAAUUGUGACUAAUCGAAUGCAUGAGUGCCUUUGGUGAUUAGCCGAAUGAGAUUUAAGCCCUUUACUAGGGUUGGCUGAAUGUAAGGGUUGGCUGAAUGUAAGUGUCUCUGACUAUGGCUUCUGCGUUGACUGAAAUUGUGUAUAUUGUUAUUAUAUUUUUUGUUCUAAUUUGUAUGUUUUAUGAUAUUAUGGCAGAAUAUCGUUGCCGAUAUUCUGAUCACAUGUUUACUGUUACCAUUUUUCUGAGCGCAUGAUGAAAAGCAUGUCCAUUGUGUCUAUUAAAACUGAUUUCAUGUUGAAGCAUGCCUAUUGUAUUGAUUAUGAUUUUGUUAUGCCAUAAUGCAUUGUAUGGGGAUUGGGAUGAUAUGU